rnacentral:lncRNA from 1 species
GGAAGAAUAAUAAACGAAGUUCGACAGAGUAGAUUCAUCAUGGGAAGAAAGCGGAACGCCGAACGUUUUAAAAGAACAUAUCGGCAUUUUCCUUCGGUGUUUGGUGACGUCAUGUUUUGCGGCGCACAUUUCUACGCCGCACAAAAUAUUUGCGGCGUUAACGCUCGCGCUUGGUGUAAACCUGCCUUAAUACAGCAUCUGGUGUCGGCAGUUGGAAUUAACUUCGAGUGGCCGAAGGGAUUACCGAUAACUUUCCGAAACGAUAAGAUUUUCUCGAUAAAGCUAGAUUGACACCACCAGAG